rfam:Triticum aestivum genome assembly, contig: Triticum_aestivum_CS42_TGACv1_scaffold_031308_1BL
UUUCUGUGAUGAUGAAAACAGAUGAUGAGUCUGAUGUAAUCCAUUCUACCAAACCACUUGGACAAUUGUGGCAUUUGCCUGAGAGAA